GAAGGUACCAUCUUUAUUCAGUAUACAAAGUGGCCGCUAUGGCAAAACGAAGCUUCCGGCAACACAAUACUGUUGCCGAUUCAAAUGAAUUAUUAUUCUCGCUUAAAAUUGGAAAGUGAAGAUACUCAUAUAUGCUUCUUCUUCUUAAUUGGCGCGAUAACCGCUUACGCGAUUUUUGCCGAGUUUAACAAAGCGCGCCAGUCGUUUCUUCUCGUGCUAACCGGCGCCAGUUGGACACACUAAGUGAACCCUUCUCCUUCUCCACUUGAUCUUUCCAACGCAGACGAGGCCUUCCUCUUCCUCUGCUACCACCAGCUGGUACCGUAUCGAAUACUUACAGAGCCGGAGCGUUUGUAUCCAUUCGGACAACAUGACCCAGCCAACGUAGCCGCUGGAUCUUUAUUCGCUGCGCUAUGUCUAUGUCGUCGUAAAGCUCAUACAGCUCAUCGUUCCAUCGCCUGCGAUAUUCCCCGCUGCCAACAUGCAAAGGACCAAAAAUCUUGCGCAGAAUCUUUCUCUCAAACACUCCCAACGUCGCUUCAUCGGAUGUUGUCAUCGUCCAAGCUUCUGUGCCGUAUGACGAGGAAUGGACAAACCUGUGUUUUCUUCAACACUUUCGUCUACAACGGCAAUAUUUUUGGCUGUUCUUGAGCGACGUGCAUGGGUUUUAUUCUUCACAUCACUAACUUGUCCCGACAACUCGAAUUUGUUCACCAAUUUCUGUAUUGCGGUCUGACAAGGUGGUUCACGAUGACCCAAAAAUGUUCGAGUUUUACGAACCGUCUUUGGCGAAUUUUCACCAUUUUUAUAGUGAAUUUCAAUAUUUUCAAUGCAUUGUUUAAGCGUGUAUCGUUUAAAUUUUAUUAAUGGCAUAGUUUCUACUUGUCAAAUAUAAAAAAAAUAAUAGCUUCAAAAGUGACAUCUACCGAAAUAGCGGACUAUUCAAAAUAACACCUGUUAUUGGAAAACCCUUUAAAUAUAAAUACCAAACAGAUACGUGGCUAUCAGAAGAACACAUAUAUAUGUAUAUGUAUAAAUUAGUUUACAUAUAGGGUUAUAUGAAAAAAGCUGUUUGCUAAGUACAAAUUAAAAGUGGGUUUGUUCACAAAUACAUAUGUACUUGUAUGUAAUUAUAAACCUAUUUUAAAUUAAGAGCUAUUUGGAUAUAUGUAGAAUAACCAUAUUGUUGCAGUUAAGAUCUAUCAGCGCUGGACAUGUGCUUAUUUCGUUUGUGCAUGCAUAAGAUAAAAAUAUUGCAUACUCGUAAUAGCUUUUUAAAAUACUCCCGCAUAAACUUUAUUGAUUUUGUUGAGCAUCGCUUAUAACUGGAAGUGCAUUUAACAAAUGUUUUUAAAAAAUGUAAGAAGUAAUGAAAAAUAUAAACAAAUAAAAAUUCGCCUUUGCACAAAUUUUUGAGAGAAGUGCCGAAUUCGCCCAAGGCAAUUAAUCAACUAUUCCACUGAUAUUAUAUCACCUUCUAUAGAUACGCCUUCAAAGUAAGCGUGCAUUGGGCCAGCCCCUGGAUAAUAUAGUCAAGGUCAAGGAUGAUAGAGUACAUGCUUACCGAAUUAGUUGCGUCGUAAGAGCCAAUGAUUAACCAAACAAAAGGAAGGGGAAUUACUUGUUUGUGAAGAUGAAGAGUAGGUGAAAGCAAUGAAACAACCAAACACAAGAAAUUAUACGCAACACACACACUUUCUUGCCACGGCGUAUUCCGCAACUUUAUAUUAAUUAGGUUAGGACAAAUUAUUGUGGCUGUAUCAUUGCUAGACUGUGGUGAAUCAUAUAACCACUGUUCUAUCAGCACUCGCUGAUGAUCGAAAAGAUGUACAAACAUUUAUUAACGCAGACCCAAAAGAAUUGGCAAUAAUUUUAAGUGGCGGUGAUUUAUAUACUGCUGCAUUGGAGCUAAUUACCGGCUUCGAAUUAUCACUCCUUCGAAUAUGGGGAAGCCGCAUUACCGAGGAAGGCGUCAAUGAAGCAUGGGCGUGGUUCAAGAAAUUGACUUGGCUGAUUUGCCUCAUCGCAAUAAAUCCGAUAUGGCCUGAUCACUGCUACAAACACUGAUUUAUGACUUUGAGGUAAAAAUUGUACUAGCACACGUAAAUAUGUAGCAAACACGCUGCUAUGUCUCAACGCUUUUAUUCCGCAAUGGGAAUCACCACACGCAAUUUUGGGAGGUGCAACCGAAUAUUUCAAUUUUAAACAUGCGCGAUUGCGGUUAUAAGCCAGGACGUCAUACAGACCUAUAUCGAUACGGCAUAGCGCACAGCAGAGGAUAAGAUUCAAAUGGAUUAAAUAAAAUUAUAUAUAUUUUUUUCAAUUGUAUGCACUUUGGUAAAGUUUUAGAUCUUAUGUUAUAAAUAUGGAUUUUAACAAUCAAGUUUUUCUUA